rnacentral:misc_RNA from 1 species
GCAAACUUGGUCAUUUAGAGGAAGUAAAAGUCGUAACAAGGUUUCCGUAGGUGAACCUGCGGAAGGAUCAUUACAGUGCUCGUCGGUACGUCGCGUCCCCAAAAAGGCGUCGACGUGCCGCACCUGCCACCCGUGUUUACCUUUUCCAUUGUUGCCUCGGCGGGCCCGCCGGACGUACCCACGUCCGGCCACCGGGGGGUUAUCGCGUACCUACGCGGUCCCCUGGUCCGCGCCCGUCAGAGGACCCUUAUUGAACCCUGUGAAUGUAGUGUUGUCUGAGCGUAUUAGCGAAUACAGUUAAAACUUUCAACAACGGAUCUCUUGGUUCUGGCAUCGAUGAAGAACGCAGC